CUGUACUACUGAGGAGUAUGAGUUGGCCUGCAGACAGAGGUUUGCUGAGGACAACAUCAUGUAUGAGUGACUCAUCAUCUACUUGAGGACCAGAAGGCAUGCCUUUGGACUUAAGGGUGUUGAGCAGCGGAAAGUAUUGCGAUGGGCACGCCCCUUCCAGUGGGAUGAACAGGAGUGGACCAUGAUGGGAAGCCUCGGCAGCUCGUGGUGAGGUCUUUUGAGGAGGUUGCUGCUGUGAUCACAGCAGUCCCACUGCAGGGCAUAGCGGCUGGGUUACCACUUGUCAGAAUGUCUCCUCAGUUUACUAUUGGCGAAACAUGACCCAGGACAUGAAACAUUAUAUUGAAACAUGUAGUAAGUGCCAGCACUACACGCCAAUGAAGACAAAGGCCCCAGAGAUGCGUCCCAUAAAGGUGAAGGAGCCGUUGGAACUUAUAGGAGUCGACUUGGUCGGUGAGGAU